AUUCUUGGGGGCACCCUGACCGCAAUGCCGCGUGAGUGAAGAAGGCCUUCGGGUUGUAAAGCUCUUUUGUCAGGGAAGAAACACCGGCUCUAACACAGUCCGGGAAUGACGGUACCUGAAGAAUAAGCACCGGCUAACUACGUGCCAGCAGCCGCGGUAAUACGUAGGGUGCAAGCGUUAAUCGGAAUUACUGGGCGUAAAGCGUGCGCAGGCGGUUAUACAAGACAGGCGUGAAAUCCCCGGGCUUAACCUGGGAAUGGCGCCUGUGACUGUAUAGCUAGAGUGUGUCAGAGGGGGGUAGAAUUCCACGUGUAGCAGUGAAAUGCGUAGAUAUGUGGAGGAAUACCAAUGGCGAAGGCAGCCCCCUGGGAUAACACUGACGCUCAUGCACGAAA
rnacentral:rRNA from 1 species